GACGAACGCUGGCUGCGUGCCUAAUACAUUCAAGUUGAGCGAUGAAGCUUGGUGCUUGCACCAAUUUGAAGAGCAGCGAACGGGUGAGUAACGCGUGGGGAAUCUCCCUUUGAGCAUGGGACAGCUUAUAGAAACGAAUGCUAAUACCGCAUAACAACUCUAAACAUAAGUUUUAAGAUGGAAAUGUGCAAUUGCAUCACUCAAAGAUGAUCCCGCGUUGUAUUAGCUAGCUGGUGAGGUACAGGCUCACCAAGGCGUGCAUAGAUAGCCGACCUGAGAGGGUGACCGGCCAGAGUGGGACUGAGACACGACCCACAUCCCUCCGGCAGGCAGCAGAAGGGAAUCUUGGGGAAUGGACGAAAGACUGGCCGAGCAACGGCGGGGGGGUGAAGAACGUUUUAGCAUCGUAAAACCCUGUUGGUAGAGAAGAGCGUUGGUGGGACUGUACAGCUAAUCAAGUGACGGUAACAACCCAGAGAGCGACAGCUCAGUACGUG
rnacentral:rRNA from 1 species